rnacentral:tRNA from 1 species
UUUACUUUGGCAGAAUAGUGUACUAGAUUUAGAAUCUGGAAAUGUAUUAAUAUACAAGUAAUA